rnacentral:rRNA from 1 species
AUUGAACGCUGGCGGCAGGCCUAACACAUGCAAGUCGAGCGGAUGAAGGGAGCUUGCUCCUGGAUUCAGCGGCGGACGGGUGAGUAAUGCCUAGGAAUCUGCCUGGUAGUGGGGGAUAACGUCCGGAAACGGGCGCUAAUACCGCAUACGUCCUGAGGGAGAAAGUGGGGGAUCUUCGGACCUCACGCUAUCAGAUGAGCCUAGGUCGGAUUAGCUAGUUGGUGGGGUAAAGGCCUACCAAGGCGACGAUCCGUAACUGGUCUGAGAGGAUGAUCAGUCACCUUAGAACUGAGACACGGUCAAGACUCCUACGGGAGGCAGCAGUGGGGAAUAUUGGACAGUGGUCGAAAGCAUGAUCCAGCCAUGCCGAGUGUGUGGAGAAGGUCUUCGGAUUGUAAAGCCCUUUAAGUUGGGAGGAAGGGCAGUAAGUUAAUACGUUGCUGUUUUGACGUUACCGACAGAAUAAGCACCGGCUAACUUCGUG